rnacentral:lncRNA from 10 species
GCAAACCCUUGGAGGUGGCAUUGCCAAAAGCGGACGUCAAUAGAUGUAAUGCAAAAAUAGUGUCUUGUGUUCAAAAAAGGUUGGGAAAUACUGAGUGAAAGAAUAGUGCACAAACCAUAGGCACACAGCUCAAGGAAUUAUCAGGAAUUGAACAUGUCCACGUGUGCCCAACCCAGCUCUCCAGCACACCUUCCCAGCCUCAACCCAUCAUCUGGAUUCUGAGGAACAGUGCCUGCUGCUCAGUCAAUGCCUGAUGAUGGAGUGAACAGAUUUCUGCUUUCUGUGGCCACCUCUGGGCCACAGAAAGGCCCAGAGGUUACAAGCAACCUCUGGUCUUUGAAGAAGGAGCAAAAGGACAGAGAAGUAUGAAAAGGAGCCCCGUUUGGAUGCACCCACUGAGCACUGAAGGGGAGGACUCUUAGGUGGCCCCAUCCUUUGCAAACAGGCUCAGUGGUUCUCCCGCGCUCACCCCAAGGCCCAGAAUCCAUGCAUACAUGUAGGGUGGGGCAGGCCGGCUCACGCUGACACGUCCAGCCUCUGCCCAGCUCCUCUGCUGGAGUCUCUGCAGGGAAUUUGGCAGAGCUUGGUCAUUCCUUCACUAAUUCAGCCGUUGUAGAAAAGCCACCCAGUUAACAGGUCUGAGCCAUUUCCUCUCAUCCUGGGGACUAGAGGUGACUGCCACUUUGAGGCCAGUUAAGAGUUCUUGGCCCUUCCUGGAAACCCUGCACUGCUGGGAAGUGGGUGGACACACACUUCUGAGAAUGAAUUCCAAGCGAAUUUUCCCAUCAUUUCUUUCCCCCUAGCAGUGCAAGGCUGGGGC